rnacentral:lncRNA from 1 species
GGGUUGAACCUGGUUUUGUGGCAUGCCAAACCUCCCUUUUUAUAGCCAUGUGAAAUAUAACAUUAAGAUGACAACUCAACACUACAGGACUACAAUAUAAAUAAAUUGGAGAAUACAAUUGACAAAGAAACACACGAACAACAGCCAACAAAAGGCAACAAGUUGAAAAUUUUAAUACGCCAGAAGUGCAUUUUAUCCACACAAGAUCUACUAGUGAUGCCCAGAUACAAAAGUUUGAAAGCCGAAACAAGCACAAAGUCGAACAGCAUCGAGGAC